UGCUGACGACCGGCGCACGGGUGCGUAACGCGUAUAGAACCUACCUUAUAGUAAGGGAUAGCCCAGAGAAAUUUGGAUUAAUACCUUAUGGUAUCAUAAAUUGGCAUCAAUUACUGAUUAAAGAUUUAUCGCUAUAAGAUGGCUAUGCGUUCUAUUAGCUAGUUGGUAUGGUAACGGCAUACCAAGGCUACGAUAGAUAGGGGUCCUGAGAGGGAGAUCCCCCACACUGGUACUGAGACGCGGACCAGACUCCUACGGGAGGCGGCAGUGAGGAAUAUUGGACAAUGGAGGCAACUCUGAUCCAGCCAUGCCGCGUGUAGGAAGACUGCCCUAUGGGUUGUAAACUACUUUUAUAGAGGAAGAAACCCCGAUAUGUAUAUCGGUCUGACGGUACUCUACGAAUAAGGAUCGGCUAACUCCGUGCCAGCAGCCGCGGUAAUACGGAGGAUCCAAGCGUUAUCCGGAAUCAUUGGGUUUAAAGGGUCCGUAGGCGGGUUUGUAAGUCAGUGGUGAGAGUUUUCGGCUCAACCGGAAAAUUGCCAUUGAUACUGCAAGUCUUGAAUCAUUGUGAAGUGGUUAGAAUAAGUAGUGUAGCGGUGAAAUGCAUAGAUAUUACUUAGAAUACCGAUUGCGAAGGCAGAUCACUAAUAAUGUAUUGACGCUAAGGGACGAAAGCGUGGGUAGCGAACAGGAUUAGAUACCCUGGUAGUCCACGCCGUAAACGAUGGUUACUAGCUGUUCGGUUUUCGGACUGAGUGGCUAAGCGAAAGUGAUAAGUAACCCACCUGGGGAGUACGUUCGCAAGAAUGAAACUCAAAGGAAUUGACGGGGGCCCGCACAAGCGGUGGAGCAUGUGGUUUAAUUCGAUGAUACGCGAGGAACCUUACCAGGGCUUAAAUGUAGUAUGACAGGUUUAGAGAU
rnacentral:rRNA from 1 species